rnacentral:misc_RNA from 1 species
GGUGCUGCUUUCUGGUACGUGUUGCAACCACGAUCACCAAUUGAUAGCCUGUUGGACCGAAUCACUGACUGAUUUCUAGGCAAACCAUUGCUGGCGAGCACGGACUUGAUGGUGAUGGACAGUGAGUUUCAACAUCGAUGAGAUUGAGAGGUGGAAAUGGCGGUCUGAUAAUUUUUAGCGUCAACGAGGCUUCCGACCUCCAGUUGGAGCGCAUGAACGUCUACUUCAACGAGGUAUGUGUGGAAUUGAAGCUAUAAGUAUAAAGGCUUCUCUAAUGUUGAUCUUGAUAGGCCAGCAGCAACCGUUUCGUUCCCCGUGCCGUCCUUGUCGACUUGGAGCCCGGUACCAUGGACGCUGUCCGUGCCGGUCCCUUCGGUGGUCUCUUCCGCCCCGACAACUUCGUUUUCGGUCAGUCCGGUGCUGGUAACAACUGGGCCAAGGGUCACUCACCCGAGGGUAAAGAAC